ACAGGUGUCCCACUGCGGUCCAUCCCGCUACAUGGAGCCCCACAUCCUGGGCUGGAGGCCUCUCAUGCUCAAGCUCAGGCUCAUUUGAAGUAUCCUCUUCCUGAGGCCACCCCCGAUGACGUCAAUGUGAGACACAUUACUAUACUUAUGGAUGGUGAUACACCAAACAUUAAUAAGAUCACCAACAGUGAACUGUUCCACUGUCCCUUCUGUAAAUACGUGGGUGCAAAAUUUAAGGUCGACUACCAUGUAAAAGGCCAUUCGUCAGUGAAACACAAAGAGUUCACAAUAAUCAAGUGUGGAUUAAGUUGUCGGACGGCAACACAUUUUCAUUGUUGCUAUUGUGCAGCAACACUUAGAAAUCGAUCGCAAUUGGUAAGGCACCUACAAAUACACCAGGAGGAGGUGCAAGCUGCAGCCCCUGUACAGCACUUUGUGGCCCCCGCUCAACUCCC